GUUUGUUCCCGUUUGUUUACAGACUGGCAGUGUGAGGAGCUGAUGCCUCCCAAAGGACACAGCACCGGAGUGGGAUUACGGACAUCUCUCCAUCACUCUCAUCAUCUGUUCAUGCCCUUAUAGUUUUUUAUACCAUCUAAACACAGAUACACACAUACACAGAGACACACACACACAGAGGCACACACACACACACAGACACAUGCACAGACACACAGACACACGCAGAUACACACACACACACACACACACACACUCACACACACACAGAGAGAGAGAGAGAGAGAGAGAGAGAGAGACCUAAGCUCUUUCUGAUCACCGAGAUUACACACACCUCAUUCUACUGAAGGCAUCAGGGGCUAAUUCGUGCAGAAGGGAGAAUGUGAGGUGGGAAGAGGAUCAUCUGAGAAAACAGGAGGUGAUUUCAAGUAGUGAAGAUUGGAAUAAUUUUGUUUCUCAUUUUGACAACAUGUUCUUUUAUACAACAUAUUUAUUACCUUUAUUUUAUAUGGAUAUUUUACCUGCACGUAUGUCUGUGCACCACAUGCAUGACUGUUGCCUGAAGAAGUCAGAAGGGGGCAUCAUAUACCCUG
rnacentral:lncRNA from 1 species